GCCCGGUUAGCUCAGCCGGUAGAGCGUUGGACUUUUAAUCCAAAGGCCAAGGUUUCAAGUCCCUUAUUGGGCU
rfam:Ciona savignyi cont_31110, whole genome shotgun sequence.